rnacentral:rRNA from 1 species
UACAGAGGUCCCAAGCGUUGUCCGGAUUCAUUGGGCGUAAAGGGUGUGUAGGUGGCGCGCUAAGUCGGGUGUGAAAUUUCGGAGCUUAACUCCGAAACUGCAUUCGAUACUGGCGUGCUUGAGGACUGGAGAGGAGACUGGAAUUCAUGGUGUAGCAGUGAAAUGCGUAGAUAUCAUGAGGAAUACCAGAGGCGAAGGCGGCUACCUGGACAAUUGCUGACACUCAGGCACGAAAGCGUGGGGAGCAAAAGGG